UACACCAUAGAAUUUUGUGAUAACAUUUGAGAAGAUGGCUUUAAUAGUAUGCUUUCAGUUAAGAAAAAGAAACAAUGGGGUCACCGGACCCGUUUUCUUGCUACAUUAUAAAUUUGGUAAAUUCCUAACACAUUCUAUUGUACCUUAAUCUGAAUUAUCUGUUCUUGCAUUUAGGUUGCCUCCCCUUAUGUGGCAAAGUUGGAAAAAAAUGAUCAAACAAAACAUGUCUGUUUUUUGUAAAAUACAAACAUAAAUAUGAUUAAACAUGUCAUUUUCUAUAUCGAAUUGGAAGUUCUUACACAUGAAUUACCAACUACUCUAAAAAUUUGCACAUUCUAUUGAAGAUCUAGACCUUGUUUUCUCGUAUUUCCAAAUCCAAGAUGGAGGAAGACACCCUAUCUACCUUAA
rnacentral:lncRNA from 1 species